rnacentral:misc_RNA from 1 species
GAUGAGAACGCAGCGAAAUGCGAUAAGUAAUGUGAAUUGCAGAAUUCAGUGAAUCAUCGAAUCUUUGAACGCACAUUGCGCCCCUUGGUAUUCCGAGGGGCAUGCCUGUUCGAGCGUCAUUAUAACCCCUCAAGCUCAGCUUGGUGUUGGGGCCUGCUGCACUGGCAGCCCUUAAAAUCAGUGGCGGCGCCAUCUGGCUCUAAGCGUAGUAAUUCUUCUCGCUAUGGAGUCCUGGUGGAUGCUUGCCAUCAACCCCCAAUUUUUCUAUGGUUGACCUCGGAUCAGGUAGGGAUACCCGCUGAACUUAAGCAUAUCAAUAAGCGGAGGA